GCUUGCUUCUAUCAAUCUUAGUGGCGAACGGGUGAGUAACGCGUAAUCAACCUGCCCUUCAGAGGGGACAACAGUUGGAAACGACUGCUAAUACCGCAUACGAUCUAACCUCGGCAUCGAGGAUAGAUGAAAGGUGGCCUCUAUUUAUAAGCUAUCACUGAAGGAGGGGAUUGCGUCUGAUUAGCUAGUUGGAGGGGUAACGGCCCACCAAGGCGAUGAUCAGUAGCCGGUCUGAGAGGAUGAACGGCCACAUUGGGACUGAGACACGACCCAGACUCCAACGGGAGGCAGCAGUGGGGAGUCUUCCGCAAUGGACGAAAGUCUAACGGAGCCACGCCGCGUGAGUGAUGACGGCCUUCGGGUUGUAAAGCUCUGUUAAUCGGGGCGAUAGGCCUUCUUGCAAAUAGUUAGAAGGAUUGACGGUACCGGAAUAGAAAGCCACGGCUAACUACGUGCCAGCAGCCGCGGUAAUACGUAGGUGGCAAGCGUUGUCCGGAAUUAUUGGGCGUAAAGCGCGCGCAGGCGGAUUGGUCAGUCUGUCUUAAAAGUUCGGGGCUUAACCCCGUGAUGGGAUGGAAACUGCCAAUCUAGAGUAUCGGAGAGGAAAGUGGAAUUCCUAGUGUAGCGGUGAAAUGCGUAGAUAUUAGGAAGAACACCAGUGGCGAAGGCGACUUUCUGGACGAAAACUGACGCUGAGGCGCGAAAGCCAGGGGAGCGAACGGGAUUAGAUACCCCGGUAGUCCUGGCCGUAAACGAUGGGUACUAGGUGUAGGAGGUAUCGACCCCUUCUGUGCCG
rnacentral:rRNA from 1 species